rnacentral:rRNA from 1 species
AGUGAACGCUGGCGGUAGGCCUAACACAUGCAAGUCGAACGGCAGCACAGUAAGAGCUUGCUCUUACGGGUGGCGAGUGGCGGACGGGUGAGGAAUACAUCGGAAUCUACUUUUUCGUGGGGGCUAACGUAGGGAAACUUACGCUAAUACCGCAUACGACCUACGGGUGAAAGCAGGGGAUCUUCAGACCUUGCGCGAUUGAAUGAGCCGAUGUCGGAUUAGCUAGUUGGCGGGGUAAAGGCCUACGAAGGCGACGCUACGUAGCUGGUCUGAGAGGAAGAGACCAGACACCGGCGUGGGGCACCGGCCCAGAAUCCUAGGGGAGGGAGGAGUGCGUAAUAUUGGCAUAGGGGGGAAAGGAUGAUGAAGUAAUGCCGCGUGAGUGAUGAAGGCCGUAGGGUAGUAAAGCUCUUUUAUACGCGACGAUAAUGACAGUACCGGGAGAAUAAGCUCCGGCUAACUCCGUG